CGCAGGGCCAAGACUCUCUAGGACCAGGGACUCCAAGGGACAGAAAAGUGACGCCAAUGCCCCCUUUGCCCAGUGGAGCACAGAGCGUGUGUGUGCAUGGCUGGAGGACUUUGGCCUGGCUCAGUAUGUGAUCUUUGCCAGGCAGUGGGUAUCUUCUGGCCACACUUUAUUGACAGCCACCCCUCAGGACAUGGAAAAGGAGCUAGGAAUUAAGCACCCACUCCACAGGAAGAAGCUUGUUUUAGCAGUGAAAGCCAUCAACACCAAACAGGAGGAGGAGUCUGCACUGCUAGACCACAUUUGGGUGACAAGGUGGCUUGAUGAUAUUGGCUUACCCCAGUACAAAGACCAGUUUCAUGAAUCUAGAGUUGACGGACGAAUGCUGCAAUACCUAACUGUGAACGAUUUACUCUUCUUAAAAGUCACCAGCCAACUACAUCAUCUCAGCAUCAAAUGUGCCAUUCACGUGCUGCAUGUCAACAAGUUCAACCCCCACUGCCUGCACCGGCGGCCAGCUGAUGAGAAGUUGUACAGUGGUCCAACCACAGGGUGAUGGAGUGG
rnacentral:sRNA from 1 species